AGGAUGCACCGGAGCUCAAUUUCGAGUCUCAUAGCAAAGGGUCUGGAUGCUUAUGUAAAUAAGUUAUUUCAGUUAACUAAGUCCCCACUCUUCCCUUUCCUUCAUAUCAGGGCGAAAGACAUCCAUACUGAACCAGUUGCUGGAGGACGACUUUGAGUGGCCCGACAGGUCAACUACGAGUGGCGACUUGGUUGGUUCAAGUAGUACCACGGUCCUAACAGAGAAUAACCCUAACCCACCUUAUGGUGGCCGAGUGGGCUUGCAGUACGAGGCAGAGGGAGACUCCUCCAACGUCUGCCUACCAUGGAACACAGGCACAGUUGGGGAUUCUAUUCAAGCUAUACUAGAUGCCAUCUCCUGACGUUGUGCCCCUUGAGCAAGUCAUUUAAACACUUUCUCAAGGGGUUAAAAAGCAACAAAAACAUGAUAAAUAAAAUUGGACAGUAAAGCUUUGUUCUUACUCUUUCUUCUCCUAUAAAAGGUGUCCAGGGAGAGGUUUGAAGACCAUCUACCAGUUCCUGGAGGGCUGAUAGGGACGCCAUACAAGACAUAACAGACACCUGAACCGACUGACCUCUUCAGGGCAACGUUUUGCAUUGAGUGACCCUGGCAGCCAAAGGCGGAAAGAAUGCCUUAUUUAAAAUGUAUUAUAUACUGUAUUUCUUUGUCGUCAAAAUAUGUCUAGCGCUUUUGGAAUUUCUGAUGCUCCCAGAAUGUCUAGCUUUCAUUUUGAUGACUGUUAGCAAGCUGGACAAAAGUGAAGAGACUAUAAAUGAAGGUCCAAUAUAAUUUCUACAAACGUUUGAUUUGGUUUUAGUAAUUUCAAUGUCGAUUGACAUCGUUUUGCUGCGAAAAAAAAAAAAAAACAUUUUCAGAUUGUAUAGGCUCGCGGGCCUUGAGUUUGACAAGUGGGCUACAUUGUCAUUCAACCGGUUAAAAAAAGCUGUAUACACAUUAUACUGUGGUUGCACUUUAUAAACUGGUGUACUUUCAUGGUAAAUUACUACAUAGGGAUACUAUGGAGGAGCUAAUGUUGACUUUAAAAACCUAUUCCAUACUUAAAUACCCUUUUACAAUAUUCCCUGACAGUUUAUGAUCAGCAGACCGGAGAUAAAGUCACUCAGAUGUCUUGGAUCAUCCUUUAAAUCAGUGUUUCAUCAACCACCGGGAAAAAAACAGACUGGAACAAGAUCUGUAUUGGAAGGUCUCCUCUUUGGGAGCAAAGACUGAAUGAAACAGCAAAAACUGUUUUACCAAUGAUAUGAUGCAACUUAUGCCAGUUUGACAAUUAGCAGUACUCAUUUUUAACGUUGGUACUAAAGCUAAUGAAUAAUGUUGUAAUAUCACAUGGCCUAACAACGUGUCUGUAUACAGAGAACAGAUAUUGAACACUCAAAACAUCUUUGAAAUGUGUAAUAAAACAAAGAUUUAUUUCCUGACUCAUUUUUGUAAACUGCAUAAUAUCAAAGCAACCAAAAA